UUCUUUCUUAUCUGACACAAACCCAAACCCAAGUAAGAAAGAGACGAAGCUCUUCCUCGGCCUCGGUCUCGGUCUUCUUCCAAGUCCCCUUCUUGAACUCGGCGUCGUCUUUUGGUUGACUGCAGCGAACCAGUGCGUCGUUUUACUCAUUACAGUUGCAUUAUUUUUUGUAAGUAGAAGGGGUUAAUCACACCCCAUGGACAGUGAAUUGUAUGAAGAAGAGCCAGUGCGAUCUGGUAUCAUAACUGCCAUACGUCUAAAUGUUACAACUGGGGAAGACGUUCUGAGGAUAUCUGAAGAAACACCAAUCAAUACAGCCAGUGAGGUCACUGAUCCUAGGUUCGUACUUCCAAAUCCAUCCGGCCUGUGCUCUACUUUGUUG